UUGCAUACAUAGGAUUAAGAGGUGUUGGUAUCCAUAUCAUCUUGAUCAUGAUUCCAACACUUACUACAUACUUUAUGACUCUCUCACAACCUCUGAAUGGUCAAUGAAGGCCAAUUUGUUAGCUUACAAGAACCAACCGAAUGCUAAAGAUGGAUCUGACACUUCUUCCCCAGAUCAAUAGGAGUGGUUCAUUAACACUUGGUGGUGGUGGAUAUGGGCCUUCUCUCAAGAUAGGAAAGAGAUCUUUAGUAAGAAAGUUUGUAUGCCUCAGAAUAAC
rnacentral:lncRNA from 1 species